rnacentral:rRNA from 1 species
UUGACGGUACUUAAUGAAUAAGCACCGGCUAACUCCGUGCCAGCAGCCGCGGUAAUACGGAGGGUGCAAGCGUUACUCGGAAUUACUGGGCGUAAAGGACGCGUAGGCGGCCAGAUAAGUUAGAUGUGAAAUCCUAUGGCUUAACCAUAGAACUGCAUCUAAAACUAUUUGGCUAGAGUGAGGGAGAGGUCAGUGGAAUUAGUGGUGUAGGGGUAAAAUCCGUAGAGAUCACUAGGAAUACUCAUUGCGAAGGCGACUGACUGGAACUUAACUGACGCUGAGGCGUGAAAGCGUGGGGAGCAAACAGGAUUAGAUACCCUGGUAGUCCACGCCCUAAACGAUGUACACUAGUUGUUGCCAUGCUAGUCAUGGCAGUAAUGCAGCUAACGCAUUAAGUGUACCGCCUGGGGAGUACGGUCGCAAGAUUAAAACUCAAAGGAAUAGACGGGGACCCGCACAAGCGGUGGAGCAUGUGGUUUAAUUCGAAGAUACGCGAAGAACCUUACCUGGACUUGACAUCCUAUAAAUGAUUUAGAGAUAGAUUAGUGCUAGUUUACUAGAAUAUAGUGACAGGUGCUGCACGGCUGUCGUCAGCUCGUGUCGUGAGAUGUUGGGUUAAGUCCCGCAACGAGCGCAACCCUCGUCAUUAGUUGCUAACAGUUCGGCUGAGCACUCUAAUGAGACUGCCUUCGUAAGGAGGAGGAAGGUGAGGACGACGUCAAGUCAUCAUGGCCCUUAUGUCCAGGGCUACACACGUGCUACAAUGGCCAGGACAAUGAGACGCAAUACCGCGAGGUGGAGCAAAUCUAUAAACCUGGUCUCAGUUCGGAUAGCACUCUGCAACUCGAGUGCUUGAAGCUGGAAUCGCUAGUAAUCGUAGAUCAGCAAUGCUACGGUGAAUACGUUCCCGGGUCUUGUACACACCGCCCGU